rnacentral:lncRNA from 1 species
AUGUUCACGAUUACUUCCUUCGAGGGUAAGAAAACCCUUUUCGUUUCUUCAAAGUCUGAUGAACAACAGUUAAAAUUUUCAAUUUUUAUUAAAAUAAAAGAAGAUCAUGUGUGGAAGAAAAGAGUUGCAGAGCAUAUGGGUUUUUUUUGAACGAGGACUUUCAUGAACAUCAGGUCAAUGAAGGUGUUCAUUAUCGGUUUAGUAAAUUUGUAGAGAAAUGCUUUGUAAGAUUUCUUUUGUAAAACAUAUUUACAUACAAUUUAAUCAAGAGUAUCCGUGAUUUAGUUAUUCACAAUUCACAUUAUUUAUUUUAUUGAGCACCUUGCGAUUCUGAUUAUCAUAGCCCAAUUGGAGAAAGGUUACUAUGUAGCUGGAGUUUUGUUUGAAGUCCUUUGCUCGGU